GGUUGAUUAUACUUUUAGUUUGAAUAUGUUCUUCCGAAGAUUUGAAGGGAGAUAAGAUCAAUAUUUCUAAACAAAAAGGGGGAAGGGUUGUAGAUGAUUUGUGAUCAUCUCCCAUGGAAAUUUAUAGACAACAUAUUGUGCAUUCACAUAGAUUUUACAUGUUUUAAUUGUAACUGAUGUCCGAUUUUUUAGUAAUACAGAAGACAUUUUAUAAAAGGAAUACUCACUUGUUUUAAAUAUACUUAAUUUUGACAUUU
rnacentral:lncRNA from 1 species